rnacentral:tRNA from 1 species
GCCUCCGUAGCUCAGUGGUAGAGCGCCUGUCUUGUAAACAGGAGGUCGAGAGUUCAACUCUCUCCGGAGGCU